UCCAAAAUUUCAUUGUUCAUUCCGGGGAAAGAACGUGCAUACUCCCAAGUCCUGAUUGGGCAUAGCUAAGUAAUUCAUGGGCAUGAAAUUCUAGUUCCAAUCGGCUCAGUUUAUACUUGACGUGCAAUUCAGAAAAUGAAUCAUGGAGUAAACAAUACUUUCAGUAUGCGUAAGCGCGCGGGUGGGCGUGCAUGGAUAAAUUCUGAGGGUAUUCAGAGAGCUUGUUGACAAUGAUGCUGGAAAUGGAAGUCUGAUCUCUGACGAAGGAGGGGCGGUGGAUCCACAUCAGACACAUUGAUAUCUUGGAAAGACCGCGAUAUCUCAUCCAUGGAGAAAGGCAUACUGCAAUUUGGACAAUCCAAUUGGUGAUUGCAUU